GUGAGUCAUCGAAUCUUUGAACGCACCUUGCGCUCCUCGGUAUUCCGAGGAGCAUGCCUGUUUGAGUGUCAUGGAAUCAUCAACCUCUUACACUUUGUGUGAAAGGCUUGGACUUGGAGGGCCAUGCCGGCGUGAGUCGGCUCCUCUGGAAUGCAUUAGCUGGACCAUGAGUCUGGUUGUACGGUGUGAUAAUUAUCUGCAUCGUCUGCCUCUCUGCGGAUCAGCUUCAAACCGUCUUCUGCGGAGACAAUCAUUUUGACCUCUGACCUCAAAUCAGGUAGGACUACCCGCUGAACUUAA
rnacentral:rRNA from 1 species